CGCGGUCCGGCCGCCCGGCGCGGGAGCGGAGCGGAGCGGGCCGCCGAGUCCCGAGCGGCCGGCGGCCGGGGCUCCCCGCCCCUCCCUGCUCUCCGGCGGCGGCGGCGGCGGCGGCGGCGGGCGGAGUGAGCGGCGGAGCCUGGAAUAUGGUCGGGGAAAUGGAAACGAAGGAGAAGCCGAAGCCCACCCCGGAUUACCUGAUGCAGCUGAUGAACGACAAGAAGCUCAUGAGCAGCCUGCCCAACUUCUGCGGGAUCUUCAACCACCUCGAGCGGCUGCUGGACGAAGAAAUUAGCAGAGUACGGAAAGACAUGUACAAUGACACAUUAAAUGGCAGUACAGAGAAAAGGAGUGCAGAGUUGCCUGAUGCUGUGGGACCUAUUGUUCAGUUACAAGAGAAACUUUAUGUGCCUGUAAAAGAAUAUCCAGAUUUUAAUUUUGUUGGGAGAAUCCUUGGACCUAGAGGACUUACUGCUAAACAGCUUGAAGCAGAAACAGGAUGUAAAAUAAUGGUCCGAGGCAAAGGCUCAAUGAGGGAUAAAAAGAAGGAGGAGCAAAAUAGAGGCAAGCCUAAUUGGGAGCAUCUCAAUGAAGAUUUACAUGUACUGAUCACUGUGGAAGAUGCUCAAAACAGAGCAGAGAUCAAACUGAAGAGAGCCGUUGAGGAAGUGAAGAAAUUACUGGUACCUGCAGCGGAGGGAGAAGACAGCCUGAAGAAGAUGCAGCUGAUGGAGCUUGCGAUACUGAAUGGCACCUACAGAGAUGCCAACAUUAAAUCACCAGCCCUUGCCUUUUCUCUUGCAGCAACUGCCCAGGCUGCUCCAAGGAUUAUUACCGGGCCUGCGCCUGUUCUCCCACCAGCUGCCCUGCGUACUCCUACGCCAGCUGGCCCUACCAUAAUGCCUUUGAUCAGACAAAUACAGACCGCCGUCAUGCCGAACGGAACUCCUCACCCAACUGCUGCAAUAGUUCCUCCAGGGCCCGAAGCUGGCUUGAUUUACACACCCUAUGAGUACCCCUACACGUUGGCACCAGCUACAUCAAUCCUUGAGUAUCCUAUUGAACCUAGUGGUGUAUUAGGUAUGGCUUUCCCAACGAAAGGCUAAGAAUUCAAGAACGGUCUUAACUGAACCCUCAUCAGAUCUGAAUUUAACAAAUGCUUAGUCUCAGCAGCCUUUGGGGGUGGGAGUGGGAGGGAAGCUUAGCCUAGCAGUCAGUGACUUACUUGCACUUUUUGCACACUGAUGAAAGUAAAAGUAUGUCAGUAAUUUGGUUUAGUCUGUAAUCUUAUGAAGUAAUGGUAACUUACAGAGUGUGUAGUAGUAUACUGACUGCUAAGUGUACUAUACUGUUUGCUUUACUAAUCACCUAAUUCAUUGCAGUUCAUACUUAUUGACGCAAAGUUUAAAACCACAAUCUGUAGGCUUUAAGAAUUGCUUUUAAACCUUUUUAAGUGAUAAACUCUGGAAGUGGUCUUAAGGUUAGCAUAUAAUUGUCAGUAUUAAAUAUGGUAUUAUUUAAGUAGUCCUGCUGCAAGAAAGGCACUUCAGUGAAUAUGUGACUAGUAAAGCUUAAAUAUGUUUGGAUCUAAUAGAGUUCUUAAAAUACUGUAACUUGGGAUUGUAAAUGAAUGGAUAAAUAGGUUAAGGCCAAGAUGUUUGAAAUGAAUGCAAUAUUAAUAGACACAUAUAUCGCAACAUAUUAUGGUUAAUUUUAAAACUACUGUGCCUUAACGUGUUUCUUAUGAUGAAACUUUUGUAGUAAAUGAACAUUUGAAAUCCAUUUGAUAAACCUGCUGUUAAUGUUUGUUUUCUUUUCCCUUGUGAAUAUUUUCUAACCUUGUCUUGGUAAUUGCAAUUUAACUAGGUGCGGUGGCUACUAAAGUUCGAAGGCACGAUAUGCGUGUCCAUCCUUACCAAAGGAUUGUGACCGCAGACCGAGCCGCCACCGGCAACUAACCUAUGACCUUCUGACCUCUGAACUCUUCACCCAAUGAUGACCUGACCAUGCCUGCCUGCUGAUCAGUUAACUGGUAAUCGCCUUUGCUUGCCUGUCGUCAGUGCAGCGAGCUGAGGCACUUGUCCGUUCGUUCGUCUUACCAUCUAACCAAACAAAAGACAAAGAAAUUGUCCUCCAACUCAGCUUUUGUUUUUUGGUUUUUGUUCUGUUUGGGUGAAAGUGGUUCUAGAACCUGCACUGAAUAGUAGUAAAGCAAUAAGGCCCAAUUCAUCCCACAGCACUCAUCAUCUUGUAAUGUCCCACCCUAAACGAACGGUAAGAAGGCCUCAUUUCAGAAGGGGACACAGAUGGCCCUUAACUACUCAGUGACAGAGGCAGUUACUGUGAGAGACUUCUAGGAAUCUCUUCUCAUAGCGAGUCAAGCUCUCUGAAUGUACUGUGUGAUGAUGCAUCAUGCAUGAACCUUUGGUCAGGGAUGUCAUUGGUGAAGUGAUUUCAAAAGUAUUCAAAAUUGGAUAUGCUGUUUAGUCACUACAGUGCCCUCAAAGGGCACAAGUUGCAGCCUUUUUUAUAUUGCCUGCCAAAAUUUGAUUAGAAGUGUGCCAUGAGAGAAAAGCUUAACAAGGAAUUUUGAAAAGUAAUGCAAAGAACAAACUGCAACACUAUUUUUAAAGGUAAAUAUCUGAGUUAAAAUUACUGAACCUUUAUUUUACACCUCCUUAAAAAAAUAUACGAAAACAAGGUACAUGCAUUAUGUGUCACAUUACUGGGCAAACUGUUCAAAUAUUUUUUUUAAACCUCCCUGUAUAGAAAAAAAUCAUUAAGGAUGUAAAAGCCAUGCUUGCCUAUUUGCUGUAUACAUGUAAUGAAAUUGUAGAUAAAGUGUAGUGCAUUGAAACAAAUGAACAAAAAGUAGAUACUUUUACUAUACAAGGGUGCUGGUGCAGAAAAAAAUAUAUAUAUUUUUGGAAAUGUAGCAUUUUAUACUUUCAAGUGUUAUAAAAAAAAGAAAAAGAACAAAGAAACCCUUUAUUUCAUUAAAUGAUUUUUUCUGGUGGUUGUCAAGAAACAAAAGACCAAAAGAGCCUUUUUGUCUUUCUUUUUUAUUUUUUAAGUAUUGGAAUAAGUCUAAAGAAAAGAAAGUGCCUUAUUUUCCUUCAUGGUCAUUUAGUCAAGUGUCUCGUAAGAUCAGCUCCUCCCUCAGAAUACAAGUUAAUGCAUGUUACUCCAUCGCCCAGUAUGUGAAAGAAGAUAGGAGGGGAGACAAAUGAGUUGAUGGUUUGAAUUAUAUGAUUUUUGCCACAUUAUCUUGAUACAAAUUUGCCAAAUUUGAUACUGUGAAAAAAGUUUGAUAACUUUUCUAAUGCCUGACAAGUUUUAAAACAUCUUUCUUUUCAAGUCAUAAUUGAACGCUUUGGUUAUUGUGCUAUUUAAUAUUAGCCCAAAGGAUUCUGAAAUGAAAAUUAUGUGUGAUCUGAAUGAACAUCACUUUACAGACAAAAUUAGAGCUUUAUUUUAUUUGGAGAAGGGAUCCAAGGGUGUUAGGGGUUUUUUUUAAAUUAUUAAUUGGAGAUAAUAGUAUACUUAGCACACUUAUUCACAAAAGUGAAACUUUGUCAUUUUCAUUCUAGAAAACAGUGUUUUUAAAUGACCCAGACUUAAUCAGACUUUCUGUCAUUAUCCAGAUCACUUGGGUAAUCCAUCUCUGCUGGUUUUAGUAACUGAAGCUGCCCCACUCCACCCAAACCACCCUCCCACAUACUUUUUCUUUAACUUGAAAAGAAUGUGAAAAACAAGCAUCAUUAUGCAUAUAUACUCAACUACAUGUGAGUUGUAAGCUUCCAGUUUCUCAUGAAGUUCAGUUUUGUAGUUGAAGCAGUUUGUGCACAGAGCCUACAUCUAAACACAUAAGUAGGUAAUCAUUAACCGCUCAGUACCAGAUGUGGCAAAUAUCAAGUGGCAGUGGGUCCCCAGCUCAUCAACUCGCUCCCUCUGACACCUUCACAGCUUCACAGUCAGAGGUCAGCAGGAAGCUCAGGGAGCACCUGCGUGGUGACUUCCAUCAUCUUGUCUCACUUGGAAAUGUUUUCAGUUUAUUUACUAUGCAAUAGACAUUCAUUGUUUUAUAUUCAGCUAGCUCUGGUUUAAUGUGCCACUGCUGUGUCUUUCUGUUACACAUACAGUUGUUUUGAUUUACUUACAAUAUAUGCUGUGCCAUUUUGAUUUUAAUUUUGUUUGGUUGGUUGAAUAAAUUUGCGACACUCAAACCCUUGAGGUGAUAGUGUAAGUUUUAAAAUGAUACCAGUAUUUGAUCCAGUUUCAUCUCAACUAUGUUAUACCUGGACAUUUUAGAUGUUUAUCAAAGGUCUUUUAUGGGGAAGUAAAUAUAUGAAAUAAAUGUGUGACAUUUAUGAGUAAUGUUAGCUCUGAACAAACUUUUGAAAACUUAGUUGACAAAAUUUUGGAUCAACUGAAAAAAAGCAUGACUUUUGAAAUUUCUGAAUGCCUUGGUUCGCAGUAUUAUCAUUCUUUACUGAAUUUAUUUCUUAUUAAAAUACGUAGUUUUUAAGACUUUUUUUCUGACAGUAUUAUGUAAUUUUUUUAGCGUGGGUAGAUGGGAGUGUCACUUGUAUGUUACCGUACAGCUGACAUGUAUUUUUGUCUAUUCUUUAUUAUCUUAGUAGUUUCAUGCUGUGUAUGUACCAUAACCAACCUAUUGCCUAUGAGAAACAUGUAAGAUAAUGUAUUUACAGCCAUUGUUACAAGUUUAUAAUGUAUUUUUCUAUCUUGUUUUAUAUGUAUGUUAUAUAACAUUCAAAAAGAAUUUUUUUCUUUAUUGAGAAAAGGAUACAAAAUGCAAAAUCCACAAUUUUGAUAACCGAAAAUUGCCAAUUGUUUUGCAGUACUUUAUUAUAUUGGGUGUCUUGUCUUUCUUGGGCUUUUAGUUAGCUAAUGAAUGAAUACAUUAGACACUUUUUGGGUUUAGUUGGGAUUUUACAUAGCUUGCAUUUUAAUUCUUUGGUUCUUUGCUGUUUCUAUUAACCCAUAGCAUUAUUUUAAUAAAUGUUAUAAUACCAACCUACUAACUCUGGACUAUGUCUGUUUAUUAACCUUUACAUGUUUAAUUAAAAUAAACACAUAAAGACAAAAGAAUGUAAAAUCUUGAGUUACUGGACUAACCCUGAAGAACGUGACCACAGAUAACAUAGCGUGACUUGUUUUUAUGUUGUUUGUCAGCUGACAAUUCUGCACAUUACUGUUAAAAUGGCUUUUUUGGUUAUUCUGGCCUUUUACCUUGGGGGGUAGGUGCCAGUAGAGAUGGGAACAAAAUAGUGUUGGUUUGAGGCAUUCUAGUCUUGCCACUUGCCUUUCAGCCUCUGCAUUACUAAUUCCACACUUUCUUAUUUUUCCUUCUCCAAAAUAAUCACUGUCUGCUCACAGCAUAAAGCGGAAAGAGAUUUCAUUGUAAUGAUGAACCCCGAGAAACCAGUUUGAUUCCUUGUUGAACCAUUUUUUUUUUCCAUUUCUGAGUAGGUAACUCUAUGGUCACAUUAUAAAACAAAUUAUUUGAUGAUGUUUCCUUCAUUCAGAUUUGUCUUAAUUGAACAUCUUUCUUUUAUAAUGUAUUGAACUGUUUUAAGCCAGCUGCUCCUAUUAAGGGAGCUCAAUACAGGUAAAAAGCCAAAGGCAGAGUGGCUGUGUUUCUCAUGACAGUCCAGAGUAAACCAUUAAUAGUGACAACAUACCCCACUUCGCUCUCACCCUCUUCCAAAAUACAGUAGGAAUAUAACAUUAAUACAAAAAUUUUAAGGGAAAAGGACACUGGCAUUUGAAAACUUACAUAUCGUUAAUUUAUUUACAUGCAAGUCAAUUUAAGAAGAUUAAAUAUCUUCAUGCUUUUGCUGCCUACAGCCUAGGUAAACUGAUGUCUACUUAUGAAUUCUCUAACUCUUAAGAUGCAUUUUUAUUUCACAGAUACUGGUCAUUUCCUUUUCUGUGAAACAGUUCUCCUAGAUAAUAAAUUCUCAGGAUGAAUCUUUGUGUUUGUAAAUAAUGGCUUAUUUUUGUAAAUUAUAUUUUAUUUAUUUUGAAAAUUUAAAAUUGGCUGGAAUGAGUCACAUGUUUUGGAAGAUACAAGUAUGCCAGUAUUAACCAGACUGUCGAAGUAUUCCCAUAUUUAUAUAUCCCCAUAGUAUAUAUAUACAUAUAUGAAAUGCCUAGAAUAGUGGUAAUAACUGAUUUAAUCAUAAUUAAGCUUGUCAUUUGGAUCAAACAAAUACAGUUUCUCUGAUUUAGGGGUGGGGGGCAUGUAUUAUUAUUAGGUAGACAGCUUUAAUAUACUACCAUCUAAAAGUUCUUAUUGCCAUAUGGUUCAUGUAUUCUAUAAAAGUUUGAAGAUGUCUGUGAAGCUGCUAAUAUACAAGUUGUCAUGGUACCAUGUCCCUUAAAUUGAUGAAUUUCUAUGCAAUUUGUUACAUGUUCUCUGAAGCCUGUGAAUGCAGUCUCAUCUCAUUUUCAGCCAAGGUACCUUAGGUAUAAUUAUAUCAUACUGUCACCUUUAUGAUGUAAGAGCUGUUAGAGACCACAUUUAAAAGGUGAAAAUAAUAGUACAAAUUCCAUUUUCAUACAGGCUGUAAUAGUAAUAAACAUGAUACUACCCAUUUCUUAGAGUGAUAAAAUGCUAAAAUCAGUUUAUUGUUUUCUACGAUUAUUUGAUUAAACAAUUGAAAGUUAAGCCUUCAGUAGAGAAGCUGGUCAAAUAAUGUACUGAAUGGUUUUGUUUUGUUUUUUUAGGCAAAAUGUCAGGAAAGCUGUAGCAUGAAAGUAAUUCCAUACGCCCUAGUGCAAUAACUGUGUGCAGUAGAGCCCACCUGGAGGGGUAGUGCAACACCCUCUCCUUAAAGCCAAGACGUGCAAACACACAAAGUAGGUAGGUGGGUAAGAUUUUCUAAAUAAAUACUAGACAGAUAAGGAUUUUGUAGUGCACUGAAAGACAUUAAGUUUAAAACAAAUUGCUCAUUACCAAAAUCAAGAAUAUUUUCUUUACCAGUGAAGUCUAACACUUACUGUAUCUUAGGUACAAGAAAGAGUUCAAGUUUUCUCCAGUUUUGUUUUUUCAAUUUUGUUUGCUUGUUUGGGAUAAGGCGUCUGUCUUUAUUCCUUGAUAACAAUUAGCUUUAUAGUAUUUCCAGAAGGUGAUUUUUAGUAUAAUGAAAUCUAUUGCUAGAUAUAAUCCAUUAUUUAAUAUAAAAAAUGGCUCUCAGAAAACUAACAGUUUUCAGACUCAGACUUUGUAAGAACUAUUUAAGGUAGUUCUUUUAACAUUGUCACAAAUUAUUUAAUAUCAUUAUUUAAAAUGGGAAAAAAGUUUUUUUUAAAGUGUUGUCUUCUAAAAAAGAUAACACGGUUUUAGAAAUAUUCUGCUGGUAUACACAUGAUUUCACCUGCGGUUCCUUAAAAUUAUCCAAAUUGAAAUGCCUUUGUUAUGUAGAGACUUAACAAAAUUGUAUACAUUGGUACUCAAUGCUGAAUCAAACUGGUUCACCUAAACGUAGUACUCCUCUCUGUUUCUGUUGCACUAAUUACAGGGGGCGGGAGAGGAGGAGGAAUUAAUUCGUGAUGGAAGUGGGUGGUAGGUGCAGCAUAUAGCACAACAGUGCCUCCCAGUUGCUUGAUGAUUCUGCUGGAAAAGCUCAGCUCCCAGGGUGAAAAAGAAAAUUACGCCUUUUUAAAAAUGCUAUUAUUCAGAAGUUCUGAUUACCAAAUACAUCUAUGUGGUUUAUAUUGUAGUGGUGUGUAUAAAACAUUUAGAAUUUUAUUUGUGGAAGUUGUAUAUGUAGAGAAAAAGUAGGUCUUCCCAAAUCACCUGUGAAUGGAGAACCCUAUAUGACUGUACAUAAAGUGCAAUAAACCAACUGGAAAAGUG